CCCUCCCACAUCUCUCCCCUCAGCCCUCCAGGGACAUGUGGCUUCUGUAGGCCUCCUGCUCUCGACCUGCUGGGGCUCGGGCUGUGAGGUGAGGACGUGGCCUUCCUGCGGGAGCCUCCGAGUCCUGCCCGCAGGAAUGGAAAGCUCUCACUUGAUCCCUGGCUGGAGGAAGAGUCUUAGCAAGCCGGCUGAAUGUGCAGCUGGAAGAGGUUAAAAAUUAACCCCGCAGUGAUGUGGCUGCAGAUACAUUUACCAACUUCAUUUUGAGUCCCCAAAAUGUCAAGCCUUUCCUUCACCACUCAUUUGCUGAUCUUCCUCAGAGGACACCGAUGUGCAGAGAGAAUUCAUUUGAACAUCCCUGCUGUUCAGGGACCAGUUUUGUAUCAGGUAAAGAAUACCAGCCCUUACCAACCUCCAUGAAUCAUCCCAGUGGGCUGACGAACAUCCAGCUGCUUUGUCUGUGAACCAUACAACUCAUAAAUGUCUUAUUCUCAUCCGCGACACGUUGCACCUCGUGCCCGCUGAGUGCUACCAGGCACAGUGUGGUGAGGAAACCUGACGGGUUGCGCUGGUUCUGUGGUCACUGAGGGGAGAUUUGUUGGCUCCUGCAUGCAGCUCUGCACCCAGGAUCCUGAGCUAAUUUGCCCAGUGUCAUUCUGCCUUCUGCAUGAUUCUCUUUCACAUUUUGGGCAUGGAUUAGCUUCUAGUACGGUAGGCAAAGGAGUCAACCGUGCAAGAAGUUAGAAGCAAAGACGCUGCAGCAUGUUACUAAAUGCAGAUUCAGCACAAAGAUUACCAACAUAAACCAAGAUCAGUUUGGCAAGAGGAAAACCACCCCUGCACCAGCAGCAGGAACGUGUUCACUGGCCUGUGGGUUACAAGUGCAAUGUCACAGCAAACCUGGUUAGACAAGCGCUCGCCUGGCUCCCUGACCUCUUCUACUUGGCAGGUUUUUCUUUGCAGUUUUGACUGAGACCAAUAUGGGAAUGAACAAUGGAAACUACACUGCCCCUCCAGCCUUCGAACUGCUCCCAGAACAUCCCGGUACAGGUGCGCUGGCCAGGCAAGGUGAAGGAGAGGUCUCAUCGCUCCAGCAUGCGGGAUAUCUAGCUACAAACAAAAAUUAAAAAGCAAAUGAGAGAGAACAAGGUCUCCUACCACAAAUCCACCUCCAAGGACCCUAAGAUGUGAGCGUACACAACUGUGCUUGCUUGAAGGCCAGCCUUUAGCCCUGCAUAUCCUUUAAUGUCAGCUGGAGCAACGCUGGCGUCUGAUUUGUGUGCUUGGCUCACCCGUGCAUGCAAGGCAAUGCGGUCCUUCCUCCUGAGGAGCUCCUCAUCUCCAUCCUGGGGCGUCUGAGUACCCAAAAUGGGCACAGCCUUCACAGACUCAGCAAUGAGACACCAGCUUCGCAUCAUCUUAGGGCAGAGGAGGAAGAGGACAGAGAAAGAAGCACUCAACAUUCUUCAGGACCCAAACACCCAGGAGCACCUACAGCAGAUUGCAGCGUGCACUGGUGGGCAUCUCAGAGUGGUACCCACAGGGUGGUCACAUGCCCAGGCCAUCCCACUAAUGGUGCUCCAACACAGGUCUGGCUGUUUUCCUUCUGUUGUUAAGAGUAAAGCACAUCUCAUUUGCUGCAGAAAACAAAAGCUCGGCUGGGAUCAUUACAGCUCGUGCUGCAUCCAGGCCACUGUUCGACCCCGUUUCCUUUGGGAGAUGAAGCUGGUGUGAGAGGGUCCCCUGGCGCCGAGCCCUGCUCCCCUUCCUGCCCAUCUGCUGCUGUGUGCUGUGGUGGCCUCUGCUGUGACCCCCGUCAGUGAAAUCACUGGAAGGAUUUUUGGGAGGUUACAAAGUGCUACCAGUCCCCGGUCCUUUAUGCACCACCGCAGAACCUGAACAGUGGAUAACCUGUCGUGGUUAGCUUUGCCUCAUGCCUGCGAGAUGUGGAGUCCUUUCUCCCCUGUUUGAUGCUUAGGAAAUGAAGGCACAGACAGAUCUUUUCAGAAACCAUGCGUCCUGCCCCGAGACCUGCCUAGCCCCGGUGUCAGGAGGUAAUGGGGCAGAUGCCCUCUGCUGCGCCUGACCUUUCCAAGGCAUGAGUCACUGCUGAAGUGCUCCUGGGGCGUCUGACACUUGCCACAGAAGGUGUACGGUCAGUGCCUCGGAGCAUCUCCUGUUCCUGGUGGUGCCUGUGCUGUUUUUCCCAUGAUGAUUGGGAAAUGCAUGUGGGAUAGCUUCCAUACAGGGGACCAGCUUGUGCAUUGCUGUGGGUACUUAUCACCGUCGACAGGGAAAGCUGACAUGGUAUCCCUGCUCUCUUCUGGGAUGACAUGAGGUUUCAGUGUAAGGUACAAAGGAAUGAGGUCAACCACAGGCACUGUCAGCUCUGCUUCCUCGCAAGCAGACAUCCUAAGUUAUGAAGACAAAACCCCAGGGAAGCAAGGACUCCACCAGAGAGAGGGAACAGGUGGAGGAAACAUGAAAUAUAUCCCAGCAAAUCCAUUAUGGACAAGUAUUAGCACUUCAUCUGCAACGCAUGACAUCGUAUCACUGUUCCAGCUGCUGAAUCUUUGAACCGUCUUGUGAAACUUGUUCAAAACCCCAGAGGAGGAUUUAGGCCCCGAAGCCCUCCAACCUGUUUCAGCAGGGGGUUGUGGGCAGUUCACAAUUAUUGGCAGGACGAGGCUGAUGAUCUAACGCCUGUGCUAGCAGGAAGGAGGCAGGCUGAGGCUGUUGUUUAGGACUCUUUUUAGGAAGUAUUAGUAAAGAAGAGCCUGUUUGUCUUUUUGCCUGUAAAAUACAAAGCAAGGAUGCAAAUCAAUGCACACACACACCUGUGGGUGAGUGACUUAAUGGGUUGUUGUUGCAUUAUCCAUGGCACCUGCUUGUGUAGCUGUGACACCCAGAUGUGCCUUGGGGAUUUCACUUGCUGCAAAGACGCAUCUUGUGCUGUGUGGCAUCCUUGAAAAUCCCUGUGCUAGGCAGAGCAAAUGCAAAAGUAAUGAGGAGAUGGGGGCUGAAAUGAAGAGGCUUUUGGGAAGUGGAAAGGAAGGGAAGGGAAGGAAAGGAAAAUGGUUUUGGAUGCCAUUCAGGAUAAGAUGGCUGGAUAGAGAUAGCAUGGGAGUAUUUCAGAGGAGGAAGAGCAGGGCUGGUGGGAGACCAGUGAUGCUGUGAGAGGAAAUCCUCCUUCCUGCUCAGUCCCUGGACUUUAGGAAGUGCCUCUGCGAUGGAGUGGUCUUGCCAGGGAGAUUUAUUGAGGGUCUCAUCUGAUAAAUGAAAAGCAAGACUGUGGCAUAUCCUAAAGGUAAGCAGCUGCUGGCCACCUUGGGGUUGGAUGUGUCCGGUGACCUCGGACACUUCAUGGUGAAAUGAAAUGGGAGUUCAAAGAGCUGCUGCAGAGAGAAGAAGCAUGGGUGUCCUGUUCUGGGAGGGAGGGUCGAGGUAAGUCCACGAGCACUGAGCACAAAUAUUUAGCAGUGUGGUGUGAUGCUGUGUAUACCACCUGUUGAGUCCCAACACCACAGAGGGUUGCCAGAGUAUAGUGCCACAAGAGCACAAGCAUGGGAACUAAGUCAGUUCCUUCAUGCUAGUGCAAGCAGAAGCCUGGUUCUUCUGGGUCUAGAUGGUCCAGAUGGUGAUCCAGCCCUGCAGAGCAGCAGAGAGAGCAGCUAAGUCAAUCGCAGCUUCAACAAGCAUACUCUGCCUCCGCAUAGCAAUAUUGAAAGAAAACAUUUAAUUUAAGAAAAUUUCCACCAUCUAAAUAAAAGCUGCUCUGGGCUAGUUUAAUUUGUGUUGUAGCUGUGUGUUUAUUUAUCAUGUGACUUGAUUCUACAGCACACACUACGCAAGGGUAUUGCCACAGCAACAGCAGUAGCACAUGCCACAUUUUCUUCCUUUUGAAAUGCGAAGCCUUGUCUUGCAGAAGCUCCAACACGCCCUGGCUGAUGGAACUGCAUCCUUUUGCACGAUGGUUUAAAAAUAACACGUGCACACAGAGCGGGCUCAGCAACAAGACAUGUUUUGCCCUGGUUCUGCAGCUUCCUGAGAGCACAGACGGAUGUUUUGAGGCCAUGUCAGGGACAUGCCAGGGAAAGGAGCUAUGGAGGGGGUAGCAGAGAUGGGGCUGAUCACAGGAGGUGGAUGGAGAAAUGACUAACAGCAGACAGCUUUUGUAGGAGGCAGCUCCAGUAUCAAGUUGUUAUUACACAUACGAUUGCUGCAGGUUUCUGUGUCAUUGUUCUGGUGCUGAGUGAUUGUAUCUCCACUCACUAAAAAAAGAGAUGGCAAGAAGUUAUGCUGAUUUGAAACCUGACUCAAUGUUUUUAAAGUCAGAAGAAACAAAAGAUGGUUGCCUGCAUCUGGAUCACCUAUUGCCUGGCUUACAACAGACAGGGCUCUUUUCUUCUGGGGGAUGCUUGGGGCUCUCUGUGAUUCCAGACAUUGGUGACUUUGUCCAUCUGUUUCAUUUUUUAUUGUAGAAAAUUGAUAGGUCUUUUUAGAGCUUGACUUUCAUGAGCUCCUGUAUCAGAGUUCUCAUUUGUAGUCAUCACAGACAAACAUUCUCAAUAUUCAGUGGGAUAUGUGGUUACAGAGACCUUGCUGUGCCCAGCCUUACCAAAACUGGUUUGGGAAGCACCGAUCUAUAUUGUAUCCCCUCCUGCUUUGCGGGCCUGGUGCAAGGCAAGGUCAGCCACGGUCCCUCCUUGGCUUCCUUGGGACGUCUCCUCCAGAGUUUACCAGAUCUGAGGGCACAGAAGGAGGAGAAGCAUUUCUCCUGGCCCAGCUGCUCACUCCCUUCUAUAUUUAAGCCCAAUUCUUUUGUAAGAGAGCCGAUAGGAGUCUGGUCGGUGCCAUCCUGGCUUGUAACACAACCAAAGGAGCUGCUGUCGUCUUGGGCCCGAACCACUCCUGGAGCCAUCUCCCUCCUCACGGCUGGGAUAUGCCAGGUGGCUCUUGGCUUGGUGAACGUUUUGGUUGGCUUACCCGUUGGUUUAGAGCAGAACUGGCAAAGGCAGAGGCUGCUCAAAGCAGCUUCUGUACGAAGAGGCGUAGGAAAGUCUGACCAGCUGGGAAGGGGCGCCAGGACCUGUCACACCAGAGGGGUGUGUGACACAGCUCUGUCACUUCUGGGUGGCACAAGAAUGGCAAUGAGGGAGCAGUUGUUAUAUUAAGGAGAAUCAGAUGAAAAUAUCAGGUAGCAUUUUUCAGACCAAGCAAUAGAAGAUGCUUUUUUCCACACAACUUGUCUUGCACACAGUGCCGAAUGAAAAAUCCACUGAGAGCUGUUAAACACAGAGACACUAUCUUUGGGUCAGGAAGUAUCUGGUAUUUCUGGGGAAGUGUCACUACAGGCUUUCCUGGGGUUUAUAUCUUCCUUAGGCAUCUGUUAGUGGCUGCUGUCAGAGACAGGAUGCCUGGCUAUGGCCCUUGGUACAUUUUUAAGUAAGGCCAGACAGGUUGGCUGCCCUUGGAACAGCCUGUCCCUGACACAGGUACAACACCCUGCUUCAGAAACCACCAUCUCCCCCCAGCUCACUUGCAGUUCUCUGCCUGGGAGGAAGGUUUCCAUGCAGAAUUUUGCCCAGUGGUGGUGAGGAAGCCCCAGCCCUCGCAGAAAUCUGCACACCCUUGGAACGGGAUGGCUGUUUCUAGGGAAAAUCUCACAGGGCCACAGGGUGGGCUGUUUCUGUGUGACCUGGUCCUGGUCCAGCUAGUCUGGCCCAUAAUGUGUGAAUGGAGCACUGUUGUGCUAAUGUGACAUUUUCCCUAUGUUAACACUGUCCUGGUAUCCUCAGACAACAUUUGAAAAAAAAAAAAAAAAAAAAAAAAAAGGC